AUCUCUGGUUGGAGAUCCCUCCUCGGUGAAGCUUUCCCUGAGAACCUGAAGUCUUCUGGUAUGGAUGAAUGUGGAAACCACCAGAAAGCCCUGGGCAAUGAGAUGACUUUCCUGGACUACUGGCAGAAAGAGCCUCACAUCUCACAGUGCUGGGCUGGUGUGUGAUUGAAGAGAUCCAACCUACACAGACGGUUGCAAGCUAUAAAACUUCUCCACUCUUUAUUACCGUUUACUGUUAACUGAAUAUUUGCUGUACGUGAAAGCUCUGGUUAAAAUGCAUGUAGUAUAUUUAUACAUCACAGGCAAGCACAUCUCUUAACUAGUCCCAUCUGAAAAAACCUUGCAGUCUAAAGCUGAGGUCUAAGAAGGUAGUUCAGAAGCCUCUCACAAUUCCUUACACGUUGGAUUUAGCAUUUUAUUCUUUAUGGAGCAGUUGUAACUUUGUUUCUUCUAAAAAUCAAAUCAGCCUAAAAAAUUUGUCUGAAGUGACAGUUUUACUUUCAUCUUAUAUCUGAAGUAAAGCUCACUCUGAGUUGAAUGUGGCUGUAAAAUUCUGUCUGAAAAGCAGACUUUAAAAGCUAUCACAUCAAUCAAUAAAGAAUAUGCAUUUACUGCAUAUGUGAGUCCUGAUCUACAGAGGACUUCACAUGAAUACUGGGACAAAGCUCUUUGACAUGUUACUCUUACAGUACAGCUUGUUCUGCUUGUACAUCCCAACUCCAGUGUGUUCAGUAAAGUAUGGACUCAUGAGCCACCAUUGUUUCUUAGUGUCUUACAUUUGUAUGUGGGCAAUUUCAUUCAGCUUCUGAAUGAGUUCUCACAGUUUAUCAAAGGAAGAGAUCGUUUAGACUACUGAACUAAGUGUAUGUUUUGCCCAUGUGAAGUAGACGAAGCAAUCCUAUGUAAUUAGACCAUUUGUAACAUUGAGGACUCAUUUAUAUUCAGAUCACCAAUCAUGCUGUGUAAGGUUUUCAUAUGUUUAGCUGGAAAGCAUACUUAGUGGGUUCUAGAAGCAUGAAAGUGGCUGAGUAAAGUAGAAUAUGACAUAAAUGCUUGUAGGUAACUUCUAGCAGCACGGAAAACUACAUUAUCCAUGUAAAGGCAGCAUGUUGUUUUGAAACUGAAUAAGCUUUGUAUAAUCUCUUAUCUUCCCAUUAAAAAAUUAUAUUGCUGAAGAGUUAAAAAUCAGUACAAAAUAUAAACAAUGCAAUGCUUUCUUCAUAAAGCUGCCAACAGUGUGACUUACCAGCUGUUAGAUGUAUGUAUUUGUUUCUAUGGAAUAUUUAACUUCAGUAUAGCUGACUGGUUUAUUGUUUAUUGUUGUUGAUGGUGUGACUGAUUACUUUGUUGCCAUUCGUUUUGAUAAUGUGUUUAUCUAUUACUCAUCCAUUUUGAGGCUGGUGAAAUGAUAGUAACUUCCUGGGAAGGGAAUUGCAGUUACUUGUACGAAACACAGUAAAUGUAAAAUAGGAUAUCUUCACUGAAGUGUGAGUGUGUGCUUUGGAUGCCUCAAUCUGAGCAGGUGGUUGAACUUAAUGAUCUUCAGAAGUUGGGUCUAACCAAAUUUUUUCUAUGAUGAAAUAUACAGAUAGAAGCAAUGCUAAACAUAUAGAAGGCAAUUAUGUGAGUAUUUUGGAAAUUGGGUUAAAAUCAGGAAAAAAUGGAAGGUCCAAAUACAAAUCUGUUUGUAUUCUUUUAAUUUUGUAUGAAUACAGCCAUGAAAUGAAGUUAUAGAUUUGCGAAGUGCCUUAUGAAUAUCUGAUAGCAGUACAAGGCUCUUUGAGAUGGCACAGGAAGGAGGAAAAGAACAAUGUCUCUUGUUUGGCUACAUUACAAUAGGGCAGUCAAUGACAUAACUUCUGGGAGCGCUUUCUCCAAAUGAUGCAAAGAGCAGUGUUUGUCUAGAAAGAAAUCAACAAGUUUUCUGUUUCUCAGCAGUGCAGUUAUGUAUGCUUCCUUCCUUCCUCCUUCCUUCUCUCUCUGUUGUGCCUAUUUAAUCUCUUCUUUCAGUGAGUGUGGGAUGUACAGCCCUGGCUGGGGCAGGUGGAGAGGAGCUAGGUCUGCAGAGGCAGAUGAGGUGGUGCUGAGUGCUGUUCUCUGAGGCCUGCAGUGCAAAGGGUAUGUGAAUCACAUGGUGUGUAUUUUUAAGUUACAGAUGUCAUGUUCUGAUCAGUGCAGGGAUCGUAGCUGGUACACAAAAGCCAUUUUGAUUGUCUCAUUGAAGAGACUGAUACAUUAGAUCAAGCUGCUGAAAGUCACUUAUUUUGAAGUCUGUUGUAAAAUGGCAGCUAUAAUUGCUGGCUUUUGUUAUUUCUUCUAUCUAGUUUUGCAUCCCAGUAUCACCAGCCUUCUGUUUUAGCUAUUUUCCCUUCAGCUGAGGUAAAGUCGCCUUCCUGUCCAGUUUUCUGAAAUACUUUAUUUUUCCCAUAAAGAUAAGGUGGUGUAGAUGGAGCUGUUGCUGUAAUGUCGUAGCUCCCGUUUUCCACUGGGUGGUGUUUGAGUUAGUCUGCAGGCUGGUUUAAGUCUCUUCGCCAAGACAAAGAAUAGCUUGUUGUGCAACUAAACACAAGAAUCCCAAGGCCAUUCUAGUGAUCAGAGAUGAAACUUUGUUCUUUGUAUUUAUUAUAGUCUGACAGAAUUUUAAAAUGUUUAGGAAUUAUAAAUGCAAUAAACAUGUUAAAAUGCGAUCGUUCUAGAACAUUAAAUGGAAGAUUUCCUCUAUCUAUGUUAAUUCAACUUCAUCAUUAUUGCCUAAAGCAACCUUUAAUUCCAUUCUUGUUUUUUAAUUAAAAUGGGUGGAUUACUCU
ensembl:lncRNA